rnacentral:rRNA from 1 species
GACGAACGCUGGCGGCGUGCCUAAUACAUGCAAGUAGAACGCUGAAGGAGGAGCUUGCUUCUCUGGAUGAGUUGCGAACGGGUGAGUAACGCGUAGGUAACCUGCCUGGUAGCGGGGGAUAACUAUUGGAAACGAUAGCUAAUACCGCAUAAGAGUAGAUGUUGCAUGACAUUUGCUUAAAAGGUGCAAUUGCAUCCCUACCAGAUGGACCUGCGUUGUAUUAGCUAGUUGGUGAGGUAACGGCUCACCAAGGCGACGAUACAUAGCCGACCUGAGAGGGUGAUCGGCCACACUGGGACUGAGACACGGCCCAGACGCCUACGGGAGGCAGCAGUAGGGAAGCUUCGGCAAUGGACGGAAGUCUGAACGAGCAACGCCGCGUGAGGGAAGAAGGUUUUCGGAUCGUAAAGCUCUGUUGUAAGAGAAGAACGAGUGUGAGAGUGGAAAGUUCACACUGUGACGGUAUCUUACCAGAAAGGGACGGCUAACUACGUG